CCUACGGGUGGCUGCAGUGGGGAAUCUUGCGCAAUGGACGAAAGUCUGACGCAGCGACGCCGCGUGGGUGAUGAAGGCCUUCGGGUUGUAAAGCCCUGUGGGGAGAGAAGAAUAUGUGCGGGCUAAUACCCCGCAUGAUGACGGUAUCUCCUUAGCAAGCACCGGCUAACUCUGUGCCAGCAGCCGCGGUAAGACAGAUGGUGCAAACGUUGUUCGGAAUUACUGGGCGUAAAGCGGGUGUAGGCGGUCUGAAAGCCCCGGGCUCAACCCGGGAAGUGAACUCGAUACUGUUAGGCUAGAGUACUGGAGAGGUUGGUGGAAUUCUCGGUGUAGAGGUGAAAUUCGUAGAUAUCGAGAGGAACACCGGUGGCGAAGGCGGCCAACUGGACAGAUACUGACGCUGAGACACGAAAGCGUGGGGAGCAAACAGGAUUAGAUACCCUUGUAGUC
rnacentral:rRNA from 1 species